AUUGAACGCUGGCGGCAGGCCUAACACAUGCAAGUCGAACGGUAGCACAGAGGGCUUGCUCUCGGGUGACGAGUGGCGGACGGGUGAGUAACGUCUGGGAAACUGCCCGAUGGAGGGGGAUAACUACUGGAAACGGUAGCUAAUACCGCAUAACGUCGCAAGACCAAAGUGGGGGACCUUCGGGCCUCACACCAUCGGAUGUGCCCAGAUGGGAUUAGCUAGUAGGUGGGGUAAUGGCUCACCUAGGCGACGAUCCCUAGCUGGUCUGAGAGGAUGACCAGCCACACUGGAACUGAGACACGGUCCAGACUCCUACGGGAGGCAGCAGUGGGGAAUAUUGCACAAUGGGCGCAAGCCUGAUGCAGCCAUGCCGCGUGUAUGAAGAAGGCCUUCGGGUUGUAAAGUACUUUCAGCGGGGAGGAAGGCGGUGAAGUUAAUAACUUCACCGAUUGACGUUACCCGCAGAAGAAGCACCGGCUAACACCGUGCCAGCAGCCGCCGCAG
rnacentral:rRNA from 1 species